rnacentral:rRNA from 1 species
GACGAACGCUGGCGGCGUGCUUAACACAUGCAAGUCGAACGGAAAGGCCCUGCUUUUGUGGGGUGCUCGAGUGGCGAACGGGUGAGCAACACGUGAGUAACCUGCCCUUGACUUUGGGAUAACUUCAGGAAACUGGGGCUAAUACCGGAUAGGAGCUCCUGCUGCAUGGUGGGGGUUGGAAAGUUUCGGCGGUUGGGGAUGGACUCGCGGCUUAUCAGCUUGUUGGUGGGGUAGUGGCUUAUCAAGGCUUUGACGGGUAGCCGGCCUGAGAGGGUGACCGGCCACAUUGGGACUGAGAUACGGCCCAGACUCCUACGGGAGGCAGCAGUGGGGAAUAUUGCACAAUGGGCGGAAGCCUGAUGCAGCAACGCCGCGUGCGGGAUGACGGCCUUCGGGUUGUAAACCGCUUUCGCCUGUGACGAAGCGUGAGUGACGGUAAUGGGUAAAGAAGCACCGGCUAACUACGUG